AUUGAACGCUGGCGGCAUGCUUUACACAUGCAAGUCGGACGGCAGCAUAAAAGAGCUUGCUCUUUUGAUGGCGAGUGGCGAACGGGUGAGUAAUGCAUCGGAACGUACCGAGUAGUGGGGGAUAACUGUCCGAAAGGAUGGCUAAUACCGCAUAUUCUCUGAGGAGGAAAGCAGGGGACCUUAGGGCCUUGCGCUAUUUGAGCGGCCGAUGUCUGAUUAGCUAGUUGGUGGGGUAAGAGCCCACCAAGGCGACGAUCAGUAGCGGGUCUGAGAGGAUGAUCCGCCACACUGGGACUGAGACACGGCCCAGACUCCUACGGGAGGCAGCAGUGGGGAAUUUUGGACAAUGGGCGCAAGCCUGAUCCAGCCAUGCCGCGUGUAUGAAGAAGGCCUUCGGGUUGUAAAGUACUUUUGUCAGGGAAGAAAAGCCUGAGGAUAACACCCUCAGGUCAUGACGGUACCUGAAGAAUAAGCAUCGGCUAACUACGUGCCAGCAGCCGCGGUAAUACGUAGGGUGCGAGCGUUAAUCGGAAUUACUGGGCGUAAAGCGAGCGCAGACGGUUAUUUAAGCAAGAUGUGAAAGCCCCGGGCUCAACCUGGGAACUGCGUUUUGAACUGGGUAACUAGAGUGUGUCAGAGGGGGGUAGAAUUCCACGUGUAGCAGUGAAAUGCGUAGAGAUGUGGAGGAAUACCGAUGGCGAAGGCAGCCCCCUGGGAUAACACUGACGUUCAUGCUCGAAAGCGUGGGUAGCAAACAGG
rnacentral:rRNA from 1 species